rnacentral:rRNA from 1 species
CUGUCCAGAUUAAGCCAUCGCAUGUCUAAGUAUAUGCAAUUAUACCGCGAAACUGCGAAUGGCUCACUAUAUAAGUUAUCGUUUAUUUGAUAGCACCUUACUACUUGUGAUAACCGUGGUAAUUCUAGAGCUAAUACAUGCUAUAAAUCCCGACUUCUGAAGGGAUGUAUUUAUUAUAUUAAAAACCCAUGCCCUUCGGGGCUCACCGGUGAUUCAUGAUAACUCCUCGAAUCGCAUGGCCUUGUGCCGGCGAUGGUUCAUUCAAAUUUCUUCCCUAUCACCUUUCGAUGUUUGGGUAUUGGCCACACCUGGUUGCAACGGGUAACGGAGGGUUAUGGCUCGACCCCGGAGAAGGAGCCUGAGAAACGGCUACUACAUCCAAGGAAGGCAGCAGGCGCGCACAUUUUCCAAUCCCGACACGGGGAGGUAGUGACAAUAAAUACUGAUACAGGGCUCUUUUGGGUCUUGUAAUUGGAAUGAGUACAAUUUAAAUCCCUUAACGAGGAACAAUUGGAGGGCAAGUCUGGUGCCAGCAGCCGCGGUAAUUCCAGCUCCAAUAGCGUAUAUUAAAGUUGUUGUGGUUAAAAAGCUCGUAGUUGAACCUUGGGCCUGGCCGUCCGGUCCGCCUCACCGCGUGUACUGGCUCGGCCGGGCCUUUCCCUCUGUGGAACCCCAUGCCCUUCACUGGGCGUGGCGGGGAAACAGGACUUUUACUGUGAAAAAAUUAGAGUGCUCCAGGCAGGCCUAUGCUCGAAUACAUUAGCAUGGAAUAAUAGAAUAGGACGUGUGGUUCUAUUUUGUUGGUUUCUAGGACCGCCGUAAUGAUUAAUAGGGACAGUCGG